AUUGAACGCUGGCGGCAGGCCUAACACAUGCAAGUCGAACGGUAACAGGAAGAAGCUUGCUUCUUUGCUGACGAGUGGCGGGCGGGUGAGUAAUGUCUGGGCAACUGCCUGAUGGAGGGGGAUAACUACUGGAAACGGUAGCUACUACCGCAUAACGUCGCAAGACCAAAGAGGGGGACCUUCGGGCCUCUUGCCAUCGGAUGUGCCCAGAUGGGAUUAGCUAGUAGGUGGGGUAACGGCUCACCUAGGCGACGAUCCCUAGCUGGUCUGAGAGGAUGACCAGCCACACUGGAACUGAGACACGGUCCAGACUCCUACGGGAGGCAGCAGUGGGGAAUAUUGCACAAUGGGCGCAAGCCUGAUGCAGCCAUGCCGCGUGUAUGAAGAAGGCCUUCGGGUUGUAAAGUACUUUCAGCGGGGAGGAAGGGAGUAAAGUUAAUACCUUUGCUCAUUGACGUUACCCGCAGAAGAAGCACCGGCUAACUCCGUG
rnacentral:rRNA from 1 species